rnacentral:rRNA from 1 species
UAGGGAAUCUUCCGCAAUGGACGCAAGUCUGACGGAGCAACGCCGCGUGAGUGAAGAAGGAUUUCGGUUCGUAAAACUCUGUUGUUAGAGAAGAACAGCGCAUAGAGUAACUGUUAUGCGUGUGACGGUAUCUAACCAGAAAGCCACGGCUAACUACGUGCCAGCAGCCGCGGUAAUACGUAGGUGGCAAGCGUUGUCCGGAUUUAUUGGGCGUAAAGCGAGCGCAGGCGGUCAAUUAAGUCUGAUGUGAAAGCCCCCGGCUCAACCGGGGAGGGUCAGUGGAAACUGGUUGACUUGAGUGCAGAAGAGGAGAGUGGAAUUCCAUGUGUAGCGGUGAAAUGCGUAGAUAUAUGGAGGAACACCAGUGGCGAAGGCGACUCUCUGGUCUAUAACUGACGCUGAGGCUCGAAAGCGUGGGUAGCAAACAGG